rnacentral:rRNA from 1 species
GAAAGAUUUAUCGCCAUAAGAUGAGCCCGCGUAGGAUUAGCUAGUUGGUGAGGUAACGGCUCACCAAGGCGACGAUCAUUAGCUGGUCUGAGAGGACGAUCAGCCACACUGGAACUGAGACACGGUCCAGACUCCUACGGGAGGCAGCAGUGGGGAAUUUUCCGCAAUGGGCGAAAGCCUGACGGAGCAACGCCGCGUGGGUGAUGAAGAUUUUCGGAUCGUAAAGCCCUUUCAGCAGGGACGAAAACAAUGACGGUACCUGCAGAAGAAGCAUCGGCUAACUACGUGCCAGCAGCCGCGGUAAUACGUAGGAUGCAAGCGUUGUCCGGAAUUAUUGGGCGUAAAGCGAACGUAGGCGGUUACUUAAGUUUGGUCUUAAAGACCGGGGCUCAACUCCGGGAAUGGACUGAAUACUGGGUGACUAGAGGAUGUCAGAGGAAAGUGGAAUUCCAAGUGUAGCGGUGAAAUGCGUAGAUAUUUGGAGGAACACCAGUGGCGAAAGCGGCUUUCUGGGACAUUCCUGACGCUGAGGUUCGAAAGCUCGGGGAGCAAACAGGAUUAGAUACCCUGGUAGUCCGAGCCGUAAACGAUGGACACUAGGUGUCGGGGGUAUCGACCCCCCCGGUGCCGUAGCUAACGCGUUAAGUGUCCCGCCUGGGGAGUACGGUCGCAAGACUGAAACUCAAAGGAAUUGACGG